rnacentral:rRNA from 1 species
UACAGAGGUCUCAAGCGUUGUUCGGAUUCAUUGGGCGUAAAGGGUGCGUAGGUGGCGCGCUAAGUCAGGUGUGAAAUUUCGGAGCUCAACUCCGAAACUGCAUUUGAUACUGGCGUGCUUGAGGACUGGAGAGGAGACUGGAAUUUACGGUGUAGCAGUGAAAUGCGUAGAGAUCGUAAGGAAGACCAGUGGCGAAGGGCGGGUCUCUGGACAGUUCCUGACACUGAGGCACGAAGGCCAGGGGAGCAAACGGG